GGUAUUGUUUACCCCAUGAUAAGCCCCGGAAACUUAUUAUGCUUAUAUAACAAUGA
rnacentral:sRNA from 1 species